rnacentral:tRNA from 2 species
GCCUCGUUAGCGCAGUAGGCAGCGCGUCAGUCUCAUAAUCGAAUUUAGAAAUCUGAAGGUCGUGAGUUCGAUCCUCACACGAGGCA